AACGCGAAGAACCUUACCUGGGCUUGAACCGCCGGUGACCAGCGGUGGAAACACCGCCUUCCCGCAAGGGACACCGGUAGAGGUGCUGCAUGGCUGUCGUCAGCUCGUGCCGUGAGGUGUUGGGUUAAGUCCCGCAACGAGCGCAACCCUCGUUCUAUGUUGCCAGCACGUAAUGGUGGGAACUCAUGGGAUACUGCCGGGGUCAACUCGGAGGAAGGUGGGGAUGACGUCAAAUCAUCAUGCCCCUUAUGUCUUGGGCUUCACGCAUGCUACAAUGGCCAGUACAAUGGGCUGCGAUACCGCAAGGUGGAGCGAAUCCCAAAAAGCUGGUCCCAGUUCGGAUUGAGGUCUGCAACUCGACCUCAUGAAGUCGGAGUCGCUAGUAAUCGCAGAUCAGCAACGCUGCGGUGAAUACGUUCCCGGGCCUUGUACACACCGCGCAUA
rnacentral:rRNA from 1 species